rnacentral:rRNA from 1 species
UACGGAGGGUGCAAGCGUUAAUCGGAAUUACUGGGCGUAAAGCGUGCGCAGGCGGUUGUGCAAGACAGAUGUGAAAUCCCCGGGCUUAACCUGGGAAUGGCAUUUGUGACUGCACGGCUAGAGUGUGUCAGAGGGGGGUAGAAUUCCACGUGUAGCAGUGAAAUGCGUAGAUAUGUGGAGGAACACCGAUGGCGAAGGCAAUCCCCUGGGCCUGCACUGACGCUCAUGCACGAAAGCGUGGGGAGCAAACAGG